rnacentral:rRNA from 1 species
UUGAACGCUGGCGGCAGGCCUAACACAUGCAAGUCGAACGGUAACAGGAAGCAGCUUGCUGCUUUGCUGACGAGUGGCGGACGGGUGAGUAAUGUCUGGGAAACUGCCCGAUGGAGGGGGAUAACUACUGGAAACGGUAGCUAAUACCGCAUAACGUCGCAAGACCAAAGAGGGGGACCUUAGGGCCUCUUGCCAUCGGAUGUGCCCAGAUGGGAUUAGCUAGUAGGUGGGGUAAUGGCUCACCUAGGCGACGAUCCCUAGCUGGUCUGAGAGGAUGACCAGCCACACUGGAACUGAGACACGGUCCAGACUCCUACGGGAGGCAGCAGUGGGGAAUAUUGCACAAUGGGCGCAAGCCUGAUGCAGCCAUGCCGCGUGUAUGAAGAAGGCCUUCGGGUUGUAAAGUACUUUCAGCGGGGAGGAAGGGAGUAAAGUUAAUACCUUUGCUCAUUGACGUUACCCGCAGAAGAAGCACCGGCUAACUCCGUGCCAGCAGCCGCGGUAAUACGGAGGGUGCAAGCGUUAAUCGGAAUUACUGGGCGUAAAGGGAGCGCAGGCGGGAAGACAAGUUGGAAGUGGAUUCCCCGAGCACAGGUAGGGAACUGCAUCUGAUACUGGCAAGCUUGAGUCUCGUAGAGGGGGGUAGAAUUCCAGGUGUAGCGGUGAAAUGCGUAGAGAUCUGGAGGAAUACCGGUGGCGAAGGCGGCCCCCUGGACGAAGACUGACGCUCAGGUGCGAAAGCGUGGGGAGCAAACAGGAUUAGAUACCCUGGUAGUCCACGCCGUAAACGAUGUCGACUUGGAGGUUGUGCCCUUGAGGCGUGGCUUCCGGAGCUAACGCGUUAAGUCGACCGCCUGGGGAGUACGGCCGCAAGGUUAAAACUCAAAUGAAUUGACGGGGGCCCGCACAAGCGGUGGAGCAUGUGGUUUAAUUCGAUGCAACGCGAAGAACCUUACCUGGUCUUGACAUCCACGGAAGUUUUCAGAGAUGAGAAUGUGCCUUCGGGAACCGUGAGACAGGUGCUGCAUGGCUGUCGUCAGCUCGUGUUGUGAAAUGUUGGGUUAAGUCCCGCAACGAGCGCAACCCUUAUCCUUUGUUGCCAGCGGUCCGGCCGGGAACUCAAAGGAGACUGCCAGUGAUAAACUGGAGGAAGGUGGGGAUGACGUCAAGUCAUCAUGGCCCUUACGACCAGGGCUACACACGUGCUACAAUGGCGCAUACAAAGAGAAGCGACCUCGCGAGAGCAAGCGGACCUCAUAAAGUGCGUCGUAGUCCGGAUUGGAGUCUGCAACUCGACUCCAUGAAGUCGGAAUCGCUAGUAAUCGUGGAUCAGAAUGCCACGGUGAAUACGUUCCCGGGCCUUGUACACACCGCCCGUCACACCAUGGGAGUGGGUUGCAAAAGAAGUAGGUAGCUUAACCUUCGGGAGGGCGCUUACCACUUUGUGAUUCAUGACUGGGGUG